GCAGUGCGGUGAGUCAUGGUGCUUUACAGGCUCAGGAAACACACACCAGGGUACCUGAUGUGGAUAUUUUUGAAGGUGAGGGAGACCUGAGCUGAAUCACUGAAUGUUUGCCAAUGCAAAUUUGUUAAAUCUGCUGGGAAGUGUUUAGCGUACAUGCUGAAACUCUCAAACUUCCAAAUUUGUGCAGAAGAAAGGCUUGUUUGGACUCAUUGCUAAUCUGCGAGAGGUGCUCGCUUCCCUUGUCCGGCUGGCAGCUUUCCCAGGCAGUGCAUCCAAGUCCUGAGGCAGCAGUCACAGAUCAUGUCACCGCGGGGAAAGGACCUGUGCUGUGCACAACGUUUACGAUGGCAAGGGAGGAGAUUGGAACGAGGCUUUCAAGGAACCUAAGAGAAAGGAGUUUUCCUGCAUUAUUGCUCAGAAAAUGUCGUUCCUCUGUGUUCAGCCCUGCAGAUGACUGGCUCCACCUCUAGGCGAAUGACAGCUUUACCGGGUGAUCUGCCCAGCACUGUUUAUGCUGGGGUUUUUUAUUUUCGUUUUGGAAAUAUCAGACCAGAAUGGUUUCUUAUCUUGAUGGCUCUCAGUAACGGGCACAGUGCUGCUGUUACACUUACCUGCGGGAAGUCUAGGAGGAAUGAAAGUUUUCACUCUAUUCACUCCAUUAUGAAAAACUCCCAAACAUUUCUUAAAUUUUGUACAUAAAUGUAUCAGUAAUGUUCCUUUUAAAAAAGUUCCUCACUACUGAGAAAAUCCUACUGGCAUCAGUUAAUAUCAAAAUCCUUUUCGCUUUUCUUUUUUUUUAAAUGACUAAAAUUGUUGUGCUUUUAUACCCAACACAUCUUUGUAUUUGAAUUCUCAGCUAAAGAAGCGGAAAGGGGAACCUGGAUCGAAGAUUAAAGCACAAAAGCUUUGGCAGAUUCUCCGAAAAUGUUACUUAAUGUAUUCUAUUAUGUACCCUUAUUUUACUGGAACCAAAGUUUUCACGGACUCAUGCAUAUUCUCUGAAUACGUUGUGAGAAAGAAAUGAAAUAAUGCUACAAUAAACAAAAUCUGCUCUGAGAA